GUGAACGCUGGCGGUAGGCCUAACACAUGCCAGUCGAACGGCAGCACAGUAAGAGCUUGCUCUUACGGGUGGCGAGUGGCGGACGAGUGAGGAAUACAUCGGAAUCUACUUUUUCGUGGGGGAUAACGUAGGGAAACUUACGCUAAUACCGCAUACGACCUACGGGUGAAAGCAGGGGAUCUUCGGACCUUGCGCGAUUGAAUGAGCCGAUGUCGGAUUAGCUAGUUGGCGGGGUAAAGGCCAACCAAGGCGACGAUCCGUAGCUGGUCUGAGAGGAUGAUCAGCCACACUGGAACUGAGACACGGUCCAGACUCCUACGGGAGGCAGCAGUGGGGAAUAUUGGACAAUGGGCGCAAGCCUGAUCCAGCCAUACCGCGUGGGUGAAGAAGGCCUUCGGGUUGUAAAGCCCUUUUGUUGGGAAAGAAAAGCAGCAGGUUAAUACCCCGCUGUUCUGACGGUACCCAAAGAAUAAGCACCGGCUAACUUCGUG
rnacentral:rRNA from 1 species